rnacentral:rRNA from 1 species
AGGGAAUCUUCGGCAAUGGACGAAAGUCUGACCGAGCAACGCCGCGUGAGUGAAGAAGGUUUUCGGAUCGUAAAACUCUGUUGUUAGAGAAGAACAAGGAUGAGAGUAAAACGUUCAUCCCUUGACGGUAUCUAACCAGAAAGCCACGGCUAACUACGUGCCAGCAGCCGCGGUAAUACGUAGGUGGCAAGCGUUGUCCGGAUUUAUUGGGCGUAAAGCGAGCGCAGGCGGUUUCUUAAGUCUGAUGUGAAAGCCCCCGGCUCAACCGGGGAGGGUCAU